CGCCGCCCGUUCUGGUGGAGCUUUCUCCCCGAGAAGCCGUGGUACGCGGCGCCGCGUGAUGACGUCACCCCCGGGAAACUCCGCGAAACCCGGAAGCGACAACGUCGGCGGGUGAGUGGGCGGAGCGAGGACGUUGGCGUCGGCAGCAGCGAGGAAGUGACGUGGGCAGCGAGCGCAGAAGAUGCGACCCCCACGAUCUUCGCCAUGUCGAGCCAAGAACUCUGCGCUCUGCUGGCAAGGCUCCCCGUGGACUGGGACGACACGGACGACGACGAGAGCACGGGAGACGAGAGUUGGGCUCCGCCCAUCGCGCCAGUCUGCGAUCGUCGCAAGGUCCGUGGGGACCCACGUCACUUCCAGGGGGGUGAGAAGCGGCAAAAACGGCGGCGUUCCUCCAGCGAGGAGGUGGGCAGCCUCCAGCCCGAAUGGCCAGAGUACUGCCCAUGGGAGCGUAUCGCGCCAUGGGUCCAGGAUGUCCGCAGGGUGGACGACCCUUGGAGUCACCGGUGGGAGGACACGGAUGACGAAAGCGAUGAUGACGUGGAUUUUCGGUGGGCGGUCGUUGCCGGGAUGGCUCCGCCCAGCGUGCGCGUCCGAGAUCAUCGCGGCGUCCAUGAUGACCCAUGUGACUUCUGGGGGUACGAGGUGGACACGGACGACGACCAGGAUGACGCCGUUUGGGCAGUCGGUGCCGGGAUGGCUCCGCCCAUCGCGCCCACACCUGCUGGAGGAGACGUCCACCCCCCUCCACACCACACACCUACCACCAUCUCCAGCGACGUGCCCAGCCCCGUGUGGGACAGCCCAAUUGUCCCGGGACCCUUCAGUGGGGCAGCAGACACAGACGAGACCACCACCAUCCUCGCGUGUCUGCUUGGGUCAGCAUGGGGCUGGAGCGCAGCCCUCGGGCAGCAGGGAGAGACAGACAGCAGUUUUCGGGACUUCCAGCAGAGACUGAGGGCGGAGUUUGAUAGGCCAGAGCCUGAGCCAGGGAUCGAACUCUGCCCCUCCACCACAUCCAGCGCCAGUCAGGAUCCGGGGCAAGAAGACCAAGCAAUGGUGGGCGACGAGAAGGUCGCACCUCCCGAGAUCCUGGCUGUGCCCCCUGAGGAGGUCCCGGAGAGCCCAGAGAGGGAGCCAGACGACCCUCUCUUCUGUCUGUCUCUGUCUGUGUGUGUCUGUGUGGCAUAUGUGUCCGUAUGUCGCCCCCACUUCCCCUCUUUGUGUCCACCAGAUGGUGACCCAGCCGCGGAGCCGAACCCCAGGGAGGAGGUUCCUGACCCGAAUGU
rnacentral:lncRNA from 1 species